GAACGGGUGAGUAACACGUGGGCAACCUGCCCAAAAGAGGGGGAUAACACUUGGAAACAGGUGCUAAUACCGCAUAACCAUAGUUACCGCAUGGUAACUAUGUAAAAGGUGGCUAUGCUACCGCUUUUGGAUGGGCCCGCGGCGCAUUAGCUAGUUGGUGGGGUAAAGGCUUACCAAGGCAAUGAUGCGUAGCCGAACUGAGAGGUUGAUCGGCCACAUUGGGACUGAGACACGGCCCAAACUCCUACGGGAGGCAGCAGUAGGGAAUCUUCCACAAUGGGCGAAAGCCUGAUGGAGCAACGCCGCGUGGGUGAAGAAGGUCUUCGGAUCGUAAAACCCUGUUGUUAGAGAAGAAAGUGCGUGAGAGUAACUGUUCGCGUUUCGACGGUAUCUAACCAGAAAGCCACGGCUAACUACGUGCCAGCAGCCGCGGUAAUACGU
rnacentral:rRNA from 1 species